rnacentral:rRNA from 1 species
GAUGAACGCUAGCUACAGGCUUAACACAUGCAAGUCGAGGGGCAGCAUGAAUUUACUUCGGUAAAUUUGAUGGCGACCGGCGCACGGGUGCGUAACGCGUAUCCAACCUUCCCGUUACUCUGGGAUAGCCUUCCGAAAGGGAGAUUAAUACCGGAUGGUGUUCAAGUGGUGCAUAUUACCUGAACUAAAGAUUUAUCGGUAACGGAUGGGGAUGCGUACCAUUAGAUAGUAGGCGGGGUAACGGCCCACCUAGUCGACGAUGGUUAGGGGUUCUGAGAGGAAGGUCCCCCACACUGGAACUGAGACACGGUCCAG